GUGGGGAAUAUUGGACAAUGGGCGAAAGCCUGAUCCAGCCAUGCCGCGUGUGUGAAGAAGGUCUUCGGAUUGUAAAGCACUUUAAGUUGGGAGGAAGGGCAGUAAGUUAAUACCUUGCUGUUUUGACGUUACCGACAGAAUAAGCACCGGCUAACUUCGUGCCAACAGCCGCGGUAAUACGAAGGGUGCAAGCGUUAAUCGGAAUUACUGGGCGUAAAGCGCGCGUAGGUGGUUUUGUAAGUUGGAGGUGAAAUCCCCGGGCUCAACCUGGGAACUGCCUCCAAAACUGCAUGACUAGAGUACGGUAGAGGGUAGUGGAAUUUCCUGUGUAGCGGUGAAAUGCGUAGAUAUAGGAAGGAACACCAGUGGCGAAGGCGACUACCUGGACUGAUACUGACACUGAGGUGCGAAAGCGUGGGGAGCAAACAGGAUUAGAAACCCCUGUAGUCC
rnacentral:rRNA from 1 species